rnacentral:tRNA from 3 species
CGGGCAGUAGCGCAGCCUGGUAGCGUACCUGAAUGGGGUUCAGGUGGUCGGGGGUUCAAAUCCCCCCUGCCCGACCA